rnacentral:misc_RNA from 1 species
CGAGCGUCAUUACACCCCUCAAAUAUUACAUUUGGUGUUGGGCCUUGCCUUUGGGCAUGCCUAAAAAUCAGUGAUGGACGUUUAACCACAAACGCACUCCUGUGUUAUGCUGGUGAAGACGUUUGUCUCCAGGUUAAAGACCCCUCUUUAACAAUCUAAAUGUUGACCUCGGAUCAGGUAGGAAUACCCGCUGAACUUAA